rnacentral:rRNA from 1 species
UACGGAGGAUGCAAGCGUUAUCCGGAAUGAUUGGGCGUAAAGCGUCCGCAGGCGGCUAUGUAAGUCUGCUGUUAAAGCGUGAGGCUCAACCUCAUAAAGGCAGUGGAAACUACAUGGCUAGAGUGCGUUCGGGGCAGAGGGAAUUCCUGGUGUAGCGGUGAAAUGCGUAGAGAUCAGGAAGAACACCGGUGGCGAAAGCGGCUCUCUGGGACGGUACUGACGCUGAGACGCGAAAGCGUGGGGAGCGAACAGG